UGGGGAAUCUUGCACAAUGGACGAAAGUCUGAUGCAGCGACGCCGCGUGGGGGAUGAAGGCCCUAGGGUCGUAAACCCCUUUCAGUGGGGACGAAACUGACGGUACCCACAGAAGAAGGUCCGGCCAACUACGUGCCAGCAGCCGCGGUAAGACGUAGGGGCCGAGCGUUGUCCGGAAUUAUUGGGCGUAAAGAGCUCGUAGGCGGUUGCGUAAGUCGGAUGUGAAAACUCAGGGCUCAGCCGUGGGACGCCAUCCGAUACUGCGCUGACUCGAAUCCAGUAGGGGAGUGUGGAAUUCCUGGUGUAGCGGUGAAAUGCGCAGAUAUCAGGAGGAACACCUAUGGCGAAGGCAGCACUCUGGGCUGGUAUUGACGCUGAGGAGCGAAAGCAUGGGUAGCAAACAGGAUUAGAUACCCGUGUAGUCC
rnacentral:rRNA from 1 species